GGGUGAAUAGCUCAAUGGUAGAGCGUCUGCCUUACAAGCAGAAUGUUGCAAGUUCGAGUCUUGCUUCGCUCA
rnacentral:tRNA from 1 species